rnacentral:snoRNA from 1 species
GUUAAAAGAUGAAUUGAAAUUAUUGACAAGCAUAUGUCUGAUUCUUUAAGAGAUGAAAAAUUUUCAUGUCUGAUAAC